rnacentral:tmRNA from 1 species
GCCCUUUUCAUGCCGGAACGAUCCCCUUAUAUUGCGGGUGCCGGCUUUCGGGUCGGCUAUGGCGAUAAACGGCCGAUGUAAUAAACCUUUCGGACCCGGGGGCGGUACCCGGCGCCUCCACCUGGACCCAUCAUCGAGUGUGCGCGAGCGAUGGCUCCAGGCGGGGGCGAAAUAGGAUCGACGAGGGCGUAAAGAUCGGACUUUUGCUCGGCAUGGUACCACCGUUAUCGGGCUGUUUUAUAGUUGCAAACGACAACUAUGCGGAAGCACGUCUCGCUGCGUAAGCAGUGUGAUCGCUUCAAAUCAAGCCCUGGGGGUUCGCACUUCUAGGCGGGGUUCGGAGGCACCUGGCAACAGAAGCCUCCACU